rnacentral:rRNA from 1 species
AGAGUUUGAUUAUGGCUCAGGAUGAACGCUGGCGGCGUGCCUAACACAUGCAAGUCGAGCGAUCUUCUCGGAAGAGAGCGGCGGACGGGUGAGUAACGCGUGGGUAACCUGCCCUGUACACACGGAUAACAUACCGAAAGGUAUGCUAAUACGGGAUAACAUACUUUUAUCGCAUGGUAGAAGUAUCAAAGCUCCGGCGGUACAGGAUGGACCCGCGUCUGAUUAGCUAGUUGGUAAGGUAACGGCUUACCAAGGCGACGAUCAGUAGCCGACCUGAGAGGGUGAUCGGCCACAUUGGAACUGAGACACGGUCCAAACUCCUACGGGAGGCAGCAGUGGGGAAUAUUGCACAAUGGGCGAAAGCCUGAUGCCAGCAACGCCGCGUGAGCGAUGAAGGCCUUCGGGUCGUAAAGCUCUGUCCUCAAGGAAGAUAAUGACGGUACUUGAGGAGGAAGCCCCGGCUAACUACGUGCCAGCCGCCGC